GUUUCCUUUAGACUUGGAAUUGCAUCUAGGAUUGUAAAAGUACAUGGGACCAAGAAGUUUUGUGGGUUUUUGAAUUUGUUACCUACCUCUCACUAAAUUAGCAAAGUGUAGUAUGAGUUAUUGCUCUGAAAAUAGCCUUCACUGCGUUAGUAAUACUAACUAAGGGAAUGUACAAUUUAUGCAGCCAGCAUUAGUCUGUUGGCAUGUAUCUUAACAUGGUGCACUGUAUUCUGUAAAAUAAUACAACCAAUUUGCAUCCUCAUGCUCUCUUCUCUUGGUUCUUGAUGAGCACACCCUAC